AACUUUACAAAUUUAAGAAAUAGUAAUGGAAAAAUAGUGUUUAAAAUAUGAUUUUAUGUUUUUAAUGAGAUUAAAGAAAGAGAAACUUGAGUAGUCAAGUAUUGGACCCAAAUGUCAAAUAAUUUUAAUUGGGGAUUUUUAUAAAAUUAAGAAAGUUUGGCUAAAGGGCUUAUUUGAAAAGAAUUUUAGUAUUUUGGGUCCAAGUGUAAUUUUUAAAAAUAAAUAAAUAAAAAAAUAAAAUAAAAUAAAAUAAAAGGCUUCAGCCUUUCAUUUUACCCGAGCCUCUCUCUCUCUCUCCUCAGAAACUCUCUCUCUCUCUCUCUCUCUCUCUCUCUCUCUCUCUCUCUCUCUCUCUCUCUCCUCUGCGUAUUACUGUUGCCGACGACGCAGGAGUACUUUCCGGCCACCAUUUUUAGCCACGCGCCGGACCGUUGGAUUCAGAGGCCUCCGAACUAUCGACCAACGCGGGAAUCUAGAGCUCACUCGCCGAUUAAACGCCUCAACCACUCGAUUUAAGUUCGGCCACCCCGCGACUUCAAAGUUGCGAUUCGGCCACCUCGGGCAUCCGUUUGCCGAUCCGUCACCACCAUCGUGCUCCUCGUGUUGUGGGCUUCAAAACCCAAUAACUUGUUCCUACAUCUACCAUAGUUGGGUGGUGGGCCCACCACGAGCCACCGCGAUCCACCGUAGACCGACGGUCGAAACUUAGUGUUCGAGGUUCCGAAGUACGUUUUGAGUCUCAGAAAAUCAUCGUUUGACUUGUUGUGGAACCCGAUCAUUUUGGUAUAAUUUCUUUAACCUAUAUAUUGUGAUUUAAUUGUGAUUGAUUAGAGUAAUUGUUAUUAUGUGUAUUUAUAGUAUAUAAUUAUAUAUUAUUGAUAUAUGGAAUAUUUUCUGUAAAUUACUGGCUGUCUGGGAUUAUAUAUAUUUUUUAUACAGGUUUUGAUUUUGGAAUUGUCCACUUUAUAGCCGUUGUGCUGUCCAAUUUUCUAGAAAAUAUUAGAUAUUAAAUAAAGUAUAAAAAUACAUAUUUAAUUGAUUUUUCCAUUAAUAUGGAAAUUAUUAUGAUUAAUUAAUUUUAAUUAUUAUUGUUAUUGUUUUGUUAAGUAAAUCAAGAAUACAGUUUUAUGUAUAUAUAUAUCUAUGAAAAGUGUGAUUUAUAGUAAACGUAUUAUUUAACAAUUAUUCUUAUAUGUUAAUAUUUUGUUAAUAUUUGAAUAUUAAAAUAAUAUCAAAUAUUAGUUUCUUACAGUUAUUGAUAUUUGUAAGACCAGUGAAUUUUGGAGAAAGUAUAUUUAUUAUAUCACUGGAAUUGAUAUUAUGACUAUUUAAUAAUAAUAGAAAUAUUUAUAUUUAUAUUAUUAUCAUUAUAUUGAUUAUUACAACUUUAUGUUAAAAAUAUGAUUUCUUUUAUAAAAUGAUUAUUUGAAUAUAUACAUUCAUAUACGUAUUGCUAUUAAAGUAUUUUGUUAUUAAUAUCGAAAUAAGUUUAAUUAUAGACGAUAAUUAUUAUUUUGUUGGGAUUAUUAUUAUUAUUAUCAUAAGAGUACAUUAUCUUAUGAGCAAGGUUUAAAGCAUUGUUUUAUAUGAAGAGUUAUUUGCAUUACGUUGAUAAUAAUUUAUUAUUAUCAUUUAUAUAGUUUCUGGUAUUAUUAAUAUACACUAUCAAUAGUGUAUAUUUAUGAUUUUGAUAGAAUUUAAUAAAUGAUGUGCAUUGAAUAGGAUUUGUAUGGAUUUGAUUGAUUGACUCUUGGUGAGGAAUUUUAAAAUAAGCUAAGGACCUAAGGUGUGGCUUUAGCUGUUGAGCAACUUGUGGAGCACGGACUCAGUAGCAAUGCAAUAAUGGUUUAGAGUUUUCAUAUGGCUGCCUUAAAUUUAAAGUAUUCAUACGUGUAAUAAUUUAUUCUAAUAAGUUUAUAUAAAAGUUUAAAUUUUUCUGCAUUUCUUCGUAUCAUUUUAUUUAAUCCUUUUGGUCAAGUGCCUUACAUACUCGUAAACCCUAGAAUUACGAGUAUGUGGCAGACGUACCCUACCUUAGGGACGUUACAAAUGGUAUCAGAGCUUUGAGUUUGUAGAUGUCGUAUACUCGUUAUGUUAUUAGAUUUUGGGAUCUGAAAUGCUACUGAGUUCCGCCACAAGACAAGCCACACGUUAAUGGUGUGGCUUUAGCUGUUGAGCAACUUGUGGAGCACGGACUCAGUAGCAAUGCAAUAAUGGUUUAGAGUUUUCAUAUGGCUGCCUUAAAUUUAAAGUAUUCAUACGUGUAAUAAUUUCUUCUAAUAAGUUUAUAUAAAAGUUUAAAUUUUUCUGCA